AUUGAACGCUGGCGGCGUGCUUAACACAUGCAAGUCGAGCGGUAAGGCCCUUUCGGGGGUACACGAGCGGCGAACGGGUGAGUAACACGUGGGUGACCUGCCCUCAGCUCUGGGAUAAGCCUGGGAAACCGGGUCUAAUACUGGAUAUGACUCCAUGACGCAUGUUGUGGGGUGGAAAGCCUUGUGCGGCUGAGGAUGGGCCCNCGGCCUAUCAGCUUGUUGGUGGGGA
rnacentral:rRNA from 1 species